rnacentral:misc_RNA from 1 species
UGCAGUGAUUUUGUGAUGACCAGAAGCAUCCAGUGCCGAGAAAUGAUUGAAGAUGUACAGAGGCAUAUGGCAGGACUGAGUUUUCAGGACCGCAAGAGCACAGGUUCUUACAACUACCCUGCAGUGAACCAGGCCCAUCAAACUCCAAGAUCAAGUCCACCCCCUGCAGUUGAUCCGCAAAACGUUCCCCAUCCUCGCCCCCAAAUGCCUUACUAUCAGCCUCCUGAGCAGCCAACAAUGCCGGGAUACGCUCAUCC